rnacentral:lncRNA from 1 species
AACCAAUAACUAGAGAAUUUGAAUCAUGAACUAAUACAAAUGGCUCAACUAAUAGAGUAGCCACAAUAUUGAUCAAUCUUCAAAAUAAAAUAAACCAAAAAAAAAAAUGCUCGCCCAUUUAAAACUUAAAAGGCAAGACACAAAUAUGAGAAAACGAAAUAACUGAUCGACAAAAUAAAAUAUCAACAAUCAUGCUUUGAAUCACAGCACAUAAAACAACUUGAAGAUGAAAUUGGCGAAAAUCAUAGUGAAGAAGAAUAAGAAUGAACCUUUUACCAAAUUUUAUUUUGAACUCUAUUCGUGAACAUGCCUCUCAAUACAACCCCAAAGCCAAGCGAACAACAAAUUCGGACCAAAUUGGACUUGCAAAUCUCAAAAGCAAACUCGAGGAACCCAAAUCUGCCCGAAAACCUCGCCGAAAAUCUCCAACCUCGAUGAUGAUUUAAACCAACUUUGAACCUCAGCUCACAGCCAAAUUUGUUCUGACUUUCCUCUCAAAAUAGGAUUAAAAAUAGAAGCAUAUCUGAAGUAGAAUCAAAUACAUUUUAGUACAAUAGAGAUGUCGAAAAUAUUGGUACAACCGAUAGGCCAAAAGUGACUUAUUAAUGUCGCCAUUGUGUCUCAAGAAACACGGUAAUCGGUUUGAAAUUGCCUGUUAUAAGGACAAUCGAGGUGUGAAUCUCACUCUCGAAUCUUGGCUGGGGUGAGGCUUUUUGGAGAUGAUGACGUGGGGUAAGGGGGAUGUUUGUUUUGGUGUUACAGUGUUCAACGACUACUUGCUGUUUGAAGUCUAUUGAGGCUGAUGCUUCUGUGAUUUCCUUCAUGAGCAGUAGCUUAUGGUUAGGAAGAAACCAUGGAAGAUGUCACGUUCUUUGGCUGAAGGAGACGAUGAAGGGAGGGGGGUCGUGUCUCAUAUGUGGCGCUGCAGCUUUUCAUUUUUUUAGGGCAACUUUUUGGUCCUCCUGUUUUUUGUCAUUUUUUGGCUUUUUUUUUAUUUUUUAGACAAAAU